rnacentral:rRNA from 1 species
UGGCGGACGGGUGAGUAACGCGUGGGCAACCUGGCCUGUACAGGGGGAUAACACUUAGAAAUAGGUGCUAAAACCGCAUAAGCGCACAGCUUCGCAUGAAGCGGUGUGAAAAACUCCGGUGGUGUAAGAUGGACCCGCGUCUGAUUAGCUUGUUGGCGGGGUAACGGCCCACCAAGGCGACGAUCAGUAGCCGGCCUGAGAGGGCGGACGGCCACAUUGGGACUGAGACACGGCCCAGACUCCUACGGAAGGCAGCAG